UGCGGCGUGGAGCAGUGGAAGCUCGUCGGGCUCAUAACCCGAAGGUCGCUGGUUCGAAUCCAGCCGCCGCAACCA
rnacentral:tRNA from 1 species